GAUAAAGCUAAAAGUGGCUUUUGGUGGUACGUGAAGGUAAUUAGACUUCAUCUUGUCAGCCAUAAGGAAUUUACAAGGAGAGAAUAGAAUAGUAAAGGACACACACUUUAUACCACAGUGCUUAGAAGCAUGGUCUCAGAUAGUUUUUCCUGGUUUUGAAUCCUAAGCAUUACUUCUUAGCGUAUAAACAUAACAGACAUUUAACUACUCUAUUUCUAAUGUAAAAGUGGGAACAUAUUUACCUUUGGAGCUAAUGCUCAUUUGUAGUUAAACCACCAUCCACUCUGACUAGUUUGAGCAUGGAGAACAUUACUACAGAAUAUUAAACGGCUUUUGGAAGCACUGCCUGAAGAAAAUAGUAUUUAUGCUGAGAUUUAAAAGUGUGGCCCAAAGCCACACUGCUGAACUGGACUAGCACAGGAUGCCACUGCCACACUGAGACGUCACCACUACCUCUCCUGCAUACAGAGUCAUGACAUCUCUGCUACCGUUUACAAUAGAAAACCCCAAUAUCUGAAACAGCUUAUACAUUUUAUGUUAAUAAUUUAAAAAAAAAGAAAAAAAAGAAAAAAAACUGUCAACCUCCAGUUUUGUAUCUCCCUCAACUUCACUCAGUUCAUUCAACUUCAACUUCAUUCACGUUUUGCAGGAAUGCAUGUGAACGAUGCACUGAAACCUUGUCUGGAAAUGUAUCCAGGGAAUGUGAUGCUUCAUGAUCCCACUUCUGAACCCAGGAAGGCACACAGAGAAGAAAUUAGAUUCCACGUGGAAGGAGCUGACCCACAUCAUCACCUCCUAACCAACUCAGGAGGACUGUGAGGAUGAGACGGGAUUCUGUGUGUCCCACCUUCCCUGUGACGUCUGACACAUGGCUUCUUCCCGUCUUUCUUUGGUCCACCUAUGACAGUGACACCAGCCUGAAGGACCCAGCCUGGCAAGCCUUAAUUGAAGCCCACAUGUGAAUCACAUCUUCUGCUGCAUGCUGGCUCCUUCUGCCUGAAUACACAGAAAUCAUCAUAAAUCCCAACUUG